UUUGUGGAUACGGGUAACCUGUCACAUGCAGUCGAGCGAACAGAACCGGUAGCUUGCUCCCGGAUGUUAGCGGCGGACGGGUGAGUAACACGUGGGUAACCUGCCUGUAAGACUGGGAUAACUCCGGGAAACCGGAGCUAAUACCGGAUAGUUCCUUGAACCGCAUGGUUCAAGGAUGAAAGACGGUUUCGGCUGUCACUUACAGAUGGACCCGCGGCGCAUUAGCUAGUUGGUGGGGUAAUGGCUCACCAAGGCGACGAUGCGUAGCCGACCUGAGAGGGUGAUCGGCCACACUGGGACUGAGACACGGCCCAGACUCCUACGGGAGGCAGCAGUAGGGAAUCUUCCGCAAUGGACGAAAGUCUGACGGAGCAACGCCGCGUGAGUGAUGAAGGUUUUCGGAUCGUAAAGCUCUGUUGUUAGGGAAGAACAAGUGCGAGAGUAACUGCUCGCACCUUGACGGUACCUAACCAGAAAGCCACGGCUAACUACGUGCCAGCAGCCGCGGUAAUACGUAGGUGGCAAGCGUUGUCCGGAAUUAUUGGGCGUAAAGGGCUCGCAGGCGGUUUCUUAAGUCUGAUGUGAAAGCCCCCGGCUCAACCGGGGAGGGUCAUUGGAAACUGGGAAACUUGAGUGCAGAAGAGGAGAGUGGAAUUCCACGUGUAGCGGUGAAAUGCGUAGAGAUGUGGAGGAACACCAGUGGCGAAGGCGACUCUCUGGUCUGUAACUGACGCUGAGGAGCGAAAGCGUGGGGAGCGAACAGGAUUAGAUACCCUGGUAGUCCACGCCGUAAACGAUGAGUGCUAAGUGUUAGGGGGUUUCCGCCCCUUAGUGCUGCAGCUAACGCAUUAAGCACUCCGCCUGGGGAGUACGGUCGCAAGACUGAAACUCAAAGGAAUUGACGGGGGCCCGCACAAGCGGUGGAGCAUGUGGUUUAAUUCGAAGCAACGCGAAGAACCUUACCAGGUCUUGACAUCCUCUGACAACCCUAGAGAUAGGGCUUUCCCUUCGGGGACAGAGUGACAGGUGGUGCAUGGUUGUCGUCAGCUCGUGUCGUGAGAUGUUGGGUUAA
rnacentral:rRNA from 2 species